rnacentral:rRNA from 1 species
UACGAGUGCCCCAAGCGUUAUCCGGAAUUAUUGGGCGUAAAGGGUGUGUAGGUGGUUGUGUUAGUCUCAUGUCAAAUUCUUCGGCUUAACCGGGGUACCGCAUGGGAUACGGCACAACUAGAGGAUGCGAGGGGUGAGUGGAACUCAUGGAGUAGGGGUGAAAUCCGUUGAUAUCAUGGGGAACACCGAAAGCGAAGGCAGCUCACUGGCGCACUCCUGACACUGAAACACGAAAGCGUGGGUAGCGAAUGGG